UUAAAAUAAACAAGUCAUGACAUUAAGAUAAUAUAAUGAAAUUUAUCUUAACAAGUCGCACACGAAUUUGAAAUAGUUUAAAAAUUUAAAGUUUACACUAGUCAAAAGAUAUCACAUUAAUAAUAUAAUAGGUUUGAAAGAAACAUUUAUUUUCAAAAGGUUCGACGCGCCCAUUCGACUCUCCACGCGCCUCCAACGUCAAUUACCUGAAAUAUUAAAUAUGGGAUAAGUAUACAUAGUAUACUUAGUGUGGGAACAUGCAAUAAUUGUCCAAGUUAAUAAAACGGUAACACAUACGAUCGUAAUAUUCAUAACAUUCUUUCGCGCGGUGGCAUACCAAGGACCUUUUCGUCUUUGACCCAUUCAACGGGCCCCUGGCGAUAAUGGUUGCAACCUUAACUUUAACAUAAAAUCGCAUUGUGGCAUACCAAGGACUAUGACGUCCUGGACCCAUUCAGCGGGCCUCUNAUAUAUAUAUAUAUAUAUAUAUAUAUAAUUCAUGAAACAUAUGGUAACACAUAGUAUUAAAAUGGACAAUAAUUAAUCUACGACAUGUAUGUAAAUAAAUCUCAUACCUGAAAAUAGGUACUUAAUAGAUAACUUGAGUAAUUCAAAUCAAAAGUUACGUCUUAAUCGCGCCGCAUCUAGUCAGAUAAAUUUAAAUAAUAAAUAUAAGGGCCUAAAAUUUUAAAAGUAAUUGAAAUGAGACUUAAAAAUUUAUUCUGUAAGAUCAUAAAAAAAACUAAUUAAUAAAUUGUUAUAUAGAUAUUUCUCAUUGAAAUCCAUUUCAAUUUAAUUAAUAAAAUUAACUCGUAUGUUUAAUUAUUAAAAACGAAACUUUAAGCCCAUUGAUAAUAAAAAUAGGUUCAUAAAUUAGACUUCAAUUUGAUAAUUUAAACAGAGCCCAAAAUAAUAAUAAUAAAAAAAACCCAACAAUAUAUAUAAAAUCUAAGCCCACAAACUAUUUCCCUUUUUCCCUUUUACCUUUUUCCUCACUCUCUCUUGUUCAGCACCCAUCACGAAUACACGAUGUACACACACCGACACAAAUCACACAUAUACACCACUCACACACACAUCACACAAAUCACACACGCACACACACUUACACAACACAGCACACACAAAUACACACAAUUCGCUGCACCCUCUCCGGUGUGCGCGAUAGUUUCAGAGUGGAGGUUUGGGUGUUGGAAUUUGAAGAAAGAAAGAGGCAACUUUAAUUGGGCCGAGGUUUUUUAGAGAAAAAUAAGAAAUAAGAAAACUAAAUACUGCUGAGACUUUUAACUGGGCCGAGAUUUUAAUUGGGCUAAGAUUUUAAUUGGGCCGGGACUUUUAAAUAUCGAAGAGUGUUUGUGAAUAGUUUAAAGUUUUGUUUGAAUUGGCAUAUUUUCUGAAAAAUUCUAUGGUGUAUUUUCAAUAUAAAUUUAUGCAGAUUCGGUUUCAGAGAAAGAGAAAAGGUAAAGGGAAAUUCCAUAAAAUCAAAAAGAAAGAUUCGGUUUCAGAGAAAGAGAAAAGGUAAAGGGAAAUUCCAUAAAAUCAAAAAGAAAUUUUUGGUCUGCAAAGUCUUUCUCAAAUCUCCUCCUAAGACUUACUUCAAAUUUUCCCAUUGGAUGUGCUUUAUAUACCUGUAGUGUCUUUUCUGCUAGAAUUUUGGUUAUGAAUUUUCCCUUGGGGAGGAGAUUUAUUGGCAUCUAUGGACGCGAUCGAGGAAUCGUCGCAGCUCUUCGACUCGAUGUGGCAGGCGGCGGCGCUACUUGCUGGCGACGAGUAUGAUAGUAUUCUAUCCCAGGGAAUGAGUUAGGUUCUGUUUUGGGCGAUGAUUGAUGAGAGCCUUAACAUUUUGUCCUCUUUUGUUUGAUUGAGUAUUUCUCAUUUGAAAUCUA
rnacentral:lncRNA from 1 species